rnacentral:rRNA from 1 species
GACAGAGGGUGCAAACGUUGUUCGGAAUUACUGGGCGUAAAGCGCGUGUAGGCUGCUUGGAAAGUCGGCUGUGAAAGCCCUGGGCUCAACCCAGGAAGUGCAUUCGAAACUUCCGAGCUCGAGUUCUGGAGAGGAUAGCGGAAUUCUCGGUGUAGAGGUGAAAUUCGUAGAUAUCGAGAGGAACACCGGUGGCGAAGGCGGCUAUCUGGACAGAAACUGACGCUGAGACGCGAAAGCGUGGGGAGCAAACAGG